rnacentral:rRNA from 1 species
CAUGUCUUUUUGAAAUUAAUUUAAAGUCUAAUCUGCUCAAUGAUUAUAUUAAAUUGCCGCAGUAUUUUAACUGUGCGAAGGUAGCAUAAUAAUUAGUUUCUUGAUUAGAAACUUGGAUGAAGGAUUGAACGAGAAAAUUUCUGUCUCGGUAUAAAAGGAUGAAUUUUAUUAUUAAGUUAAAAAGCUUAAAUGUUUGUAAAAGACGAGAAGACCCUAUAGAGUUUAAUAAAUUAAUUUAUAUAAAUUUAGAAAGUUUUAUAGAAAUUUUUAUUUGGUUGGGGUGAUUGAAAGAUUUAAUUAAUUCUUUUACUUUUAGUUAUAUAUUUAUAAUUUAAUAAUCUAGUUUUUUAAAAUUAAAAUAAAUUACCUUAGGGAUAACAGCGUAAUUUUCUUUUAAAGUUCCUAUUGAAAAGAAAGGUUGCGACCUCGAUGUUGGAUUAAAAUUAAUUUUUGGUGCAGUAACUUAAAAAUUGGGUCUGUUCGACCUUUAAAAUUUUACAUGAUCUGAGUUUAGACCGGCGUGAGCCAGGUCGGAUUCUAUCUUUAUAAUUUUUUCAUAUUUUAGUACGAAAGGACCAAUUAUGAUUUAUAUUUAAAUG